rnacentral:rRNA from 1 species
GACGAACGCUGGCGGCGUGCUUAACACAUGCAAGUCGAACGGUAAGGCCCUUCGGGGUACACGAGUGGCGAACGGGUGAGUAACACGUGGGUGAUCUGCCCUGCACUUCGGGAUAAGCCUGGGAAACUGGGUCUAAUACCGGAUAGGACUCCUGGCUUCAUGGAUGGGGGUGGAAAGCUUUUGCGGUGUGGGAUGGGCCCGCGGCCUAUCAGCUUGUUGGUGGGGUAAUGGCCUACCAAGGCGACGACGGGUAGCCGGCCUGAGAGGGUGACCGGUUACACUGGGACUGAGAUACGGCCCAGACUCCUACGGGAGGCAGCAGUGGGGAAUAUUGCACAAUGGGCGCAAGCCUGAUGCAGCGACGCCGCGUGAGGGAUGACGGCCUUCGGGUUGUAAACCUCUUUCAGCUAUGACGAAGCGCAAGUGACGGUAGUAGCAGAAGAAGGACCGGCUAACUACGUGCCAGCCGCCGCGGUAA